CUUUAGAGAAGCUAAAUCAACCCAGCCAGCUUGAGCACAGAGUCUAACUUACUUAACAAAACACAGAGGAGACAAAUUGCUAAGGCUCAUCAUGCGAGAUGUUCCUGAUCUGUUCACUGAUGAAGAUGUGGAGGGCAAAGUUGCAGGAGUCAGAAGAGUCAGAAAAGAAGUCCCUGACCUGGGCGUGAUGAACACCACUUUCUAGCUGAUGGAGGUUCUUCUUUGGUUGAAUGCAGUAGUUGUUAAAGGUAAGGUACACCUUGGGGAAGAGAGGCAGUAGUGAGUUGGUUAAAAGAACAAUAUACCACAGUCAUCUCACAACCCUUCAUAUGUUGGCACACCUCUCCUGAAAGACAG
rnacentral:lncRNA from 1 species